CUACGGGAUGCACCAGUAGGGAAUAUUGCACAAUGGGGGAAACCCUGAUGCAGCGACGCCGCGUGAGUGAUGAAGUAUUUCGGUAUGUAAAGCUCUAUCAGCAGGGAAGAUAAUGACGGUACCUGACUAAGAAGCCCCGGCUAACUACGUGCCAGCAGCCGCGGUAAUACGUAGGGGGCAAGCGUUAUCCGGAUUUACUGGGUGUAAAGGGAGUGUAGGUGGUCUGGCAAGCCAGAUGUGAAAGCCCGGGGCUCAACCCCGAGGACUGCAUUUGGAACUGUUAGACUUGAGUGCAGGAGAGGAAAGUGGAAUUCCUAGUGUAGCGGUGAAAUGCGUAGAUAUUAGGAGGAACACCAGUGGCGAAGGCGGCUUUCUGGACUGUAACUGACACUGAGGCUCGAAAGCGUGGGGAGCAAACAGGAUUAGAUACCCUAGUAGUC
rnacentral:rRNA from 1 species